rnacentral:tRNA from 1 species
GCCCGGGUGGCGGAACUGGUAUACGCGCAACACUUAAAAUGUUGUCUGCAUUUAGCGGAUGUGGGUUCGAUUCCCACCCCGGGCA